rnacentral:rRNA from 1 species
UACGGAGGGUGCGAGCGUUAAUCGGAAUUACUGGGCGUAAAGCGUGCGUAGGCGGCCCGCCAAGCCAGAUGUGAAAGCCCUGGGCUCAACCUGGGAACGGCAUUUGGAACGGGCGGGCUAGAGUUGGGUAGAGGGGGGCGGAAUUCCGGGUGUAGCGGUGAAAUGCGUAGAUAUCCGGAGGAACACCAGUGGCGAAGGCGGCCCCCUGGACCCAAACUGACGCUGAGGUACGAAAGCGUGGGUAGCAAACAGG